UUCCUUCCGAUCAAUGAGGAUGUACCUCGUUGAUUGGAAGGAAACCCUUCCGACCAGGGAGGUACAUCGACCUCUUUGAUCGGAAGGGGUUCCUUCCGAUCAAUGAGGUACAUCCUCGUUGACCGGAAGGAA
rnacentral:miRNA from 1 species